UGCACAGCCCUCCCCCUUUUCACCUGCUUUUCACCUUCACCCCAGCCUUUCUUACAAAUGUUUGUCCUCCCCAACUUCCCUUCCCUCGUCUUCCUCCCCAGCCCCAGCCACCUUCUUCCCCUCGGUGUUUCCAGACUCCCCACACCCCUCCUGCCCUUCCCCAGAAGCUGCUCCAGUGGAAGGUCCCUGCCAUGGCAGGGGGUGGGAUGAGAUGAGCUUCAAGGCCCCUCCAACCCAAACCAUUCAGGGGUUCUCUGAUAAGCUCAUUUUUACUUCCACCCCCUAUUUGUUUCUCUGCUCCUCAUGCCCCCAAACCUCUUUCCUUUCAAUUCUACCCUGACUGGCACCAUAACUGCCAGAUCUGACUGUUCCAGACCUCAGCUCCCUGAAGGCCUUAGCCACUUGCACUGCCUGGGAACAGCAGGAGUGAGGACUGUCCUCCUCUCCACGUCAUGCCAGCAGUUUCAGGUUUUGGGCUCAGGACAAGGAUCCAAGGUACCAUAGAGCCCAGCAUAGGAUCUGGUUCUCUGAAAUCCACAAGAUUGCAGUGGAGCAAUGAGUGUGCCAGGAAAAGUAAUCCCUGGAGAGGCACAUCAGAGGAAGCUGAGGCAUCUUGCCACUGAAAAACCCGAGCUGGACAUAUGGAGAGGGUUAUGGGCACACCACAGGAGUAAGAAAUAUGUCUAAAGUGUGCUUAACACUGAUAUUGCAAUAA